rnacentral:misc_RNA from 1 species
AUAUCCCUCCCCAUGUUAAGUUCAACAGAUAGAUACAAUUUCAGAAAAUGUGUCUGAGAAAUAUUAUGUAUAAUUCAGAGAAAAACAUUAAUUAGUUUAUUAACAUCAGGAUCAGUAAUGAGAUGAGAUAGCAGUAGUUUUUCUUCUUCUCUCAAUAAAGGGAGAACUUUUCUUUGGUCUUCUCAAAUACUUGCUCGGCUAUUAGGGCUCCUUUACCAUCAGCUUUCUGGAUCUCUAACUGAGCUUUCUGAUAGAAUCCAGUACCUCUGAGAGCGUCUGCAAUGAAAUCGUCAAACCCAAUGGCAAU